rnacentral:rRNA from 1 species
UAGGGAAUCUUCCACAAUGGACGCAAGUCUGAUGGAGCAACGCCGCGUGAGUGAAGAAGGUUUUCGGAUCGUAAAGCUCUGUUGUUGGUGAAGAAGGAUAGAGGCAGUAACUGGUCUUUAUUUGACGGUAAUCAACCAGAAAGUCACGGCUAACUACGUGCCAGCAGCCGCGGUAAUACGUAGGUGGCAAGCGUUGUCCGGAUUUAUUGGGCGUAAAGCGAGCGCAGGCGGAAUGAUAAGUCUGAUGUGAAAGCCCACGGCUCAACCGUGGAACUGCAUCGGAAACUGUCACUCUUGAGUGCAGAAGAGGAGAGUGGAAUUCCAUGUGUAGCGGUGGAAUGCGUAGAUAUAUGGAAGAACACCAGUGGCGAAGGCGGCUCUCUGGUCUGCAACUGACGCUGAGGCUCGAAAGCAUGGGUAGCGAACAGG